UACGUAGGGGGCAAGCGUUGUCCGGAAUCAUUGGGCGUAAAGAGCGUGUAGGCGGCUCGGUAAGUCCGCUGUGAAAGUCCAGGGCUCAACCCUGGAAUGCCGGUGGAAACUGUCGAGCUAGAGUCCGGAAGAGGCGAGUGGAAUCCCUGGUGUAGCGGUGAAAUGCGCAGAUAUCAGGAGGAACACCAAUGGCGAAGGCAGCUCGCUGGGACGGUACUGACGCUGAGACGCGAAAGCGUGGGGAGCAAACAGG
rnacentral:rRNA from 1 species